rnacentral:rRNA from 4 species
AAAUUGAAGAGUUUGAUCAUGGCUCAGAUUGAACGCUGGCGGCAGGCCUAACACAUGCAAGUCGAGCGGUAGCACAGAGAGCUUGCUCUCGGGUGACGAGCGGCGGACGGGUGAGUAAUGUCUGGGAAACUGCCUGAUGGAGGGGGAUAACUACUGGAAACGGUAGCUAAUACCGCAUAACGUCGCAAGACCAAAGUGGGGGACCUUCGGGCCUCAUGCCAUCAGAUGUGCCCAGAUGGGAUUAGCUAGUAGGUGGGGUAACGGCUCACCUAGGCGACGAUCCCUAGCUGGUCUGAGAGGAUGACCAGCCACACUGGAACUGAGACACGGUCCAGACUCCUACGGGAGGCAGCAGUGGGGAAUAUUGCACAAUGGGCGCAAGCCUGAUG